rnacentral:rRNA from 1 species
UACGUAGGGUGCGAGCGUUGUCCGGAAUUAUUGGGCGUAAAGAGCUCGUAGGCGGUGUGUCACGUCGGCCGUGAAAACCUGCAGCUUAACUGUGGGCGUGCGGUCGAUACGGGCAUCACUGGAGUUCGGCAGGGGAGACUGGAAUUCCUGGUGUAGCGGUGAAAUGCGCAGAUAUCAGGAGGAACACCCGGUGGCGAAGGCGGGUCUCUGG